UACGUAGGGUGCAAGCGUUGUCCGGAAUUAUUGGGCGUAAAGAGCUCGUAGGCGGUCUGUUGCGUCGGCUGUGAAAACCCGGGGCUCAACUCCGGGCCUGCAGCCGAUACGGGCAGACUAGAAUUCGGUAGGGGAGACUGGAAUUCCUGGUGUAGCGGUGAAAUGCGCAGAUAUCAGGAGGAACACCGGUGGCGAAGGCAGAUCUCUGGGCCGUAACUGACGCUGAGGAGCGAAAGCAUGGGGAGCGAACAGG
rnacentral:rRNA from 1 species